UGCGCGUUGUCAUGUGAACUGCAGGACACAUGAACGUCGACACUUUGAACGCAAAUGGCGGCCCUCG
rnacentral:rRNA from 1 species